ACGGACCCUUCGGGGUUAGUGGCGGACGGGUGAGUAACACGUGGGUACGUGCCUUUAGGUUCGGAAUAGCUCCUGGAAACGGGUGGUAAUGCCGAAUGUGCCCUUCGGGGGAAAGAUUUAUCGCCUUUAGAGCGGCCCGCGUCUGAUUAGCUAGUUGGUGGGGUAAUGGCCCACCAAGGCUACGAUCAGUAGCUGGUCUGAGAGGAUGACCAGCCACAUUGGGACUGAGACACGGCCCAAACUCCUACGGGAGGCAGCAGUGGGGAAUCUUGCGCAAUGGGCGAAAGCCUGACGCAGCCAUGCCGCGUGUAUGAUGAAGGUCUUAGGAUUGUAAAAUACUUUCACCGGUGAAGAUAAUGACUGUAGCCGGAGAAGAAGCCCCGGCUAACUUCGUGCCAGCAGCCGCGGUAAUACGAAGGGGGCUAGCGUUGCUCGGAAUUACUGGGCGUAAAGGGAGCGUAGGCGGACAUUUAAGUCAGAGGUGAAAUCCCGGAGCUUAACUUCGGAACUGCCUUUGAUACUGGGUGUCUUGAGUGUGAGAGAGGUAUGUGGAACUCCGAGUGUAGAGGUGAAAUUCGUAGAUAUUCGGAAGAACACCAGUGGCGAAGGCGACAUACUGGCUCAUUACUGACGCUGAGGCUCGAAAGCGUGGGGAGCAAACAGGAUUAGAUACCCUGGUAGUCCACGCCGUAAACGAUGAUUGCUAGUUGUCGGGAAGCUUGCUUCUCGGUGACGCAGCUAACGCA
rnacentral:rRNA from 1 species